rnacentral:sRNA from 1 species
CAGGAGGUGGGGUGAAAUUAAUCAAAGCAAAGAAAUGCACAAGUGAAAUCCGUGUUUGUGGCCCAAGUUAGCAGGGCCCUGCCCCACCCCAGUGGACAUCUGCAGGGCCCUCCCUGUCCUCUUCCAGGGCCUGUGCCCUGAGGGAGAUACACCCCAACCCCCAUCCUAGCCAUGCCAACCUCUACUACCCUCUCCCCAGCUCAUCCUGUUUGGGCUCAGUAAUCAGCUGGCUGUGACAUUCCGGGAAGAGAACACCAUCGCCUUCCGACACCUCUUCCUGCUGGGCUACUCGGACGGAGCAGAUGACACCUUCGCAGCCUACACGCGGGAGCAGCUGUACCAGGCCAUCUUCCAUGCUGUGGACCAGUACCUGGCGUUGCCUGACGUGUCACUGGGCCGGUAUGCGUAUGUCCGUGGUGGGGGUGACCCUUGGACCAAUGGCUCAGGGCUUGCUCUCUGCCAGCGGUACUACCACCGAGGCCACGUGGACCCGGCCAACGACACAUUUGACAUUGAUCCGAUGGUGGUUACUGGUGAGUGGGCAGGACGAGGCUUCGCUGUUGGGAGCCUGAGCUGCUGGGAUUAAAAUCAACAGCUGUGGCUGGGCACGGUGGCUCACGCCUAUAAUACCAGCACUUUGGGAGGCUGAGGAGGGAGGAUUGCUUGAGGCCAGAAGUUUGAGACCAGCCUGGGCCACGUAGGAAGACCUUGUCUCUACGCACAAACAAAUUAGCUGGGCGUGGUGGCAUGCCCCUGUGGUCCCAGCUACUCA